GCUUUUAUCUGCAUCUUCUUUCUUGUGUUGUGUUUCACUCCUUUGCUGAUGGAAGUAUUCUGUGGCCUCUGGGCUUAUGAAGUAGAAAUUGUUGAAUAAAGUUUCCUCCCUUUCCAAAUUUUUCAAUGAGCUAUGUAUUUGCUCUAUGAGCAAUUUUUUUUUUUUUGGACAGGAAAAACUAUAUGCUAAUCGUUUUUAUAUUCCAUUCAUACAUUUUAUAUAGUGAUAUGUUUCAUUUUUAAAAUUUAUAAGUGUUUGACACCAUCAUUUCUAUGGCACUUGCACAAUUUUCAUGAAUUUAAUAAAUUGGGAUAAUAUCAUUUUUAGUCCCUCA
rnacentral:lncRNA from 1 species